UACGGGGGGGGGCAAGCGUUGUUCGGAAUCAUUGGGCGUAAAGGGCGCGUAGGCGGCUUGGCAAGUCAAAGGUGAAAUCCCUCGGCCUAACCGAGGAACUGCCUUUGAAACUGCUUGGCUUGAGGCCGGGAGAGGGUAGCGGAAUUCCCAGUGUAGCGGUGAAAUGCGCAGAUAUCAGGAAGAACACCCGUGGCGAAGGCGGCUCUCUGGGACGGUACUGACGCUGAGACGCGAAAGCGUGGGGAGCGAACAGG
rnacentral:rRNA from 1 species